UACGGAGGGUGCGAGCGUUGUUCGGAAUUUCUGGGCGUAAAGCGCGCGUAGGUGGCCCCGUAAGUCCGCUGUGAAAGUCAAAGGCUCAACCUUUGAAAGCCGGUGGAUACUGUGGGACUAGAGUACGGAAGAGGCGAGUGGAAUUCCUGGUGUAGCGGUGGAAUGCGCAGAUAUCAGGAGGAACACCAAUAGCGAAGGCAGCUCGCUGGGACGUUACUGACACUGAGGCGCGAAAGCGUGGGGAGCGAACAGG
rnacentral:rRNA from 1 species